GCAUAUGGCUGUGGUAAAAUAUUAAAACUUAUAGUUAUGCAUGCACCAACAUUAACAUCAGUGAGUUUUGCUCGAGUAGCAUAUCAGUAGGUGAACGGAUGUGAGAUUGAGAUCUCACCAAAAAAGCACAUCCUUUGCAUUGUAGAGUUUUUGCAUGUUGUGAAGGGAAGCCUACUCGCGAAACUAGUGAUGAUUCACCAUCUCAUUGCAAACUAGAAAAGACAAGAUUGUAUACAUACAUAUACAAUCUCAGUCAUUGCAAGAAAUGCAUUUCAUGCUACAAAUACAUGUAACACGUAUAGCAGAAAAUUUGAUAGAAAAGCAACAUUAAAAGAGAGUUGCUUCCACCACUUAAUUCCGUAAUGCUCUCACCCAUGCCAUUUCUACAUUUGACUUGUAACCGACCAGAGAAUCCCGAGAAUCCAGUGUAGGCUACACUGUGUAGCAAAGACAUAGAGGCUGCCGCAACCCGACGGGGUCAAUUGAGCACAGAUUUCUGAUUUUUAUGCAACUGCAACAACUUCUUGUUCCUUUAUAUUAUUUGUAAAACAAUAGAACUAUUAUUUGUAAAACAAUAUAUUUAUGUUAAAUCAAGAUGAGCUUGAUAUUGUUUAAGCGACGUAGAUGAUCAAGAUAUUUCCUACUAGAUAGGGUUUGAUCAUUUUUGUAAAUUAUUUGACAAAAUUUUGUGUGCUGAAAUAAAUCUAUUAUUAUUAUAUUA